UACGAAGGGUGCUAGCGUUGUUCGGAAUCACUGGGCGUAAAGGGUUUGUAGGCGGUUUCUUAAGCAAGAUGUGAAAUCCCAGGGCUCAACCCUGGAACUGCAUUUUGAACUGAGAAGCUAGAGUUAGAUAGAGGAUGAUGGAAUUCCUAGUGUAGAGGUGAAAUUCAUAGAUAUUAGGAGGAACACCAGUGGCGAAGGCGAUCAUCUGGGUCUAUACUGACGCUGAGAAACGAAAGCGUGGGGAGCAAACAGG
rnacentral:rRNA from 1 species